UGACCUCAAAUGCAGUAGACAGCGACGUC
rnacentral:rRNA from 1 species